AAGAUAUACAGAAGUUAAUUAAUUAUUUACCGAAUAGGCAUAAUCUGGCAAGAUCGUCAGUUUAGUAACUGAACUUUUUAUUUGAAUGGGUAGCUUUGUGAAAACGCCCCGUAUUUUUAAAUUGAUAAUGUUGAAAUGAGUAACUUUAAGGAAGAUUAUCCUCCUCACCUAAUAUCAAAGGUUUUUAUUUACGAAGUAAUGUUUUUCGUAGUUUUAUUCGAAUUCUAAGCUCUAAACGAUAGUUGAAAGUAAUGAAUAAUUAAGCAAAUAACUCUAUAACAAUGACGGAGAUAAAAGCUUUAAUUAUUACUAAUAGGGUUAUUUAUUUUAAAGGUUUUAUCUUUCAGGAAAAAUUGUUUUAGGCUAAUUAAUGCUAAUUCGUACUCAAACCGAAACAGGUAGAUAAAUGACCAUUUUGAAGGUGUUAAUUUUAAACAAUGAUAUGGAACUCGGCAAAUUAUAUUCGUAACUUAGGGAGAAGAAUAAACAGUUACAUAAAAUGUAACUGUUGUAAAUUAAUGGGGCUUGCGACUGUUCACUACAAACACAGGACUAUGCAAUUAAUAAGACGUAUAUGGUCUGACUGGUGUCCAAUGGCUUAAAACGUAAAUGAAUGGGUUUCACAAACUCGUUUUAUAACGUAAGUUCAAUGACGGCUUUAUCUCUGAGAGUCAUAAUGUAACGAAAUUCCUUGGCUAAUAAUUGUAGUCCCGCAUGAAUCUAUUAACGACACGCCUACUGUCAUGUUGUUGUAAAUUGUGAAAUUAAAAUAAGCGUGAAGAUUCGCUUAACAUUACAUUUAGACGAAAAGACCCUAUCACCUUUACUAAGGAUAGUCAUUGUAUUAGCUUGCUUUUUGUUCAGAGUAAAUAGAAGUUUUUAAACCACGAUUUAGCUAUGUCUGAUCGUUGAAACGUCAAUGAGACACUAUUCUGAAGGCAUUAUAAUACUUAACUUGUAAAAGGACAUUGACUAUCGGAUAGUUUAACUGGGACGGUUUUCUUCUACAAAGUAACGAAGAAGUGCAAUUGGGAAUGUUGGUUGAAAAAUUUCAACUUUACGUCAAACGCUUAACAUUUAAACCUUGACUGUAAAAUAGAAAUAUUAAACAGAAAUGCAAGUUGGCUUUAAUGAACCGGCGUUAUUGAUUGAAAAUAAUCGCCGAACAACUGAUGAAAGGUACGGUAGGGAUAACAGAAUUAUUAUCUAUAAGCGAUCAUAGCGAUUAGAUAGUUUAUCACCUCGAUGUCGACUCAUCAUAUCCUUGAGCUGAAGUUGGUUCAAAGGGUUGAACUGUUCGUUCAUUAAAAUGGUACGUGAGUUGGGUUUAGAACGAUGCGAAUCAGUUUGGUUUCUAUCUUAUGUAAUAUUAAAACUUUGAGCUUUUAUUCUUGUAUGAGAAGACCGAAAAGAAUAAGCCAA
rnacentral:rRNA from 12 species